CAGAACAAAUCCUGUCUUGUCGGAAAAUUUUAUAUUUAGUGCUCGAUAUUACGUCAACAUUUAGACGAUUUUGCUCAUAUUUAGUGGUCGACAAUGAAUAAAUAUCAACAUCAUAUACUUUUAUUUACACCUAGAAAUAAUCUCGUUGUUUGUCGAAAAUGACCAACAAUAGCUGAGAUUAGCUAAUGCCCAAAUAGACUGCUAAGAAUGUUACAAACCAUGGAGAAACAAGACAAAUGUGGGGCACUACAUAUACUCAUUAACUAACACGGGCAUGCACCUUACUCGCAAGUUUAAUCAAAUUGCAAUAGUUAGCGCUAGACUUUGUAGGCCAGAAUGCCUGGCCAAUAAGAUUCGUGUUAUUUCUAUAAAUAUUUAUUGUAAAUAUCAUUAUCAACGCACAAUAUCAAAUUAAAGACCAACAAUUUAUAUUUAACCUUUUUUGGAGAAGUUAAAGAACUCACAAUCGAACGCAUAGUUUUUUCCUUAGUGUAAUUGCUUGCAAAAAAAUAAAAUAUCAUCAUUGUUGAGAGUUAUCAGUCGAAUCGACUAACUUUUAAAUUCAACAACAACUUUCAUAUCAAAGUACUUGAAAGCCCAACUUAAUUUGACCACCCAAUUCAACUUAAGAGUAAAAAUCAAAGUCUAUCUAAUUAUGAAAAAUUACUUUCUCUAAACAUACUUUACCAACUUCAAACCAAGUAUGCAUUUGAUGGUUCCCACAUAUGCAUAACGGAAAGAAUAAUAUCUACCACAAAGCUAGGAGCCAUGCUGUGAUAUCAAAUAUAUAAGAUUAAGAUUGAUCAAGAUUAAUCGAAUUCCUCAGUAAUCCAACAUAUAGAUUACCCUAACAAAGCCAAAUAACACAAACAAAAUCAGGAUAUAGUCACUUAAUUAAGCUAUAACCAUAGAUUCCGCCGAUUCUUGCGCUCCCAUUCCUUACACGCGUCAAAAAAAAGAAUGUUGGUGUCCAAUAUUUUAUAGCAAAAUUUGUCUUCAAACUCAAAGAGUGUUUGGUGAGGUCAUCUCAUGGUUGUUCUUUAGAAAAAUUGCACCGGCCAUAUAGCACGACCCUUGGCAAUGGCUUAAAGAAACAUUGUAGGAGUUGAAAAAGGCCAAAGAAUAAAAUCUAGAAACUAAGAUAGGACAAGAGAAAAUAAAAAUCUGAUUUUAUUCUCUUUACAGAAACUCCAUCUAUUAAUAUAUACCGUGCCCUCAAGUUCUUCAAAAAAUUGUGUGCAAUUUAAAGCAUUGAAGUACAAUAUAUGAUGACAGCUCUUUUCGUCCUUAUUAAACUGUCUUACCAAACUGAACUAAUUAAUUUAACAAUAUAUUCAUACUAUAUGGUCACUAAUUCUCAAUGCAUGUCUCAUUCAGACAUUCACACAGCCCAUGCCACGUCAUGUGUAUCAUUGCUUCUACAUAUUUAGACUUUUUUUUGUCUCAAGUGAUGUUUUACAUUUAAAUAAAUGAAAUAUUAAUUAAUUACAUUAUUCCAAGUUUGUCUCUAAAUAAACAUAAAUAUAUUGUAUAUCAAUUUCAAACUAUUACACAUUUUUAUAAUGAGUGAUUGUAUAUCAACAUCUCUGAUUUUCAUAUACUUAUUCAACAUUUUAUUUUCUCUUAAUCUUUUUCUUCUUAUCACAUUACUAAUAUAUUAUCUCUCUCCCUCUCUCAUGCAAUUCAAUAGGUGUAUGAUUGUUUGUAGAUAAUUUUUCUUUUAUAAAUAAAUAAUGCAAUAAAAUGCACACUCUCGUAACUUCACAUUUAAAAUAUUGCAACAAGUCUUAACUCAACUGACAAAAAUGUUUAAAUUGUUAUGCCGGAUAACAUGACUAAGGUUCAAAUUCCGACACCUCCACCUGCAUGUGUAAGUUUAUAAUGACUUUACAAUUUCGUCUAUCUAUAAAAAAUAAAAUAAAAAUUAGUGUCACAAAAGUGUCAUGCAAUUUUUAAUGUAGUUUUAAUUAUUAUUUUUUAAUUGUACCUUCUACUUAAUACUAUGUGCAUUACUUCAAAAGUUAUUAUUUUUCACUUAUUUAUGAUAAUGAAAGUGCACUAUUGGUUAGUUAAUUUAGAUAAAUAAUCGUCAUUAUAUUUAUUUCAGUUAUCAAUUUUUCUUAACUUGCGUGAUUUCUAUAAUAUAUACAUGAAAUGUUAGGCUAUAAUAUAUCACUUAUUUCAGUUAUCCAUUUUUUAUAAUUUGCGUGAUUUCUAAUAUACACAUGAAAUGUUAUACUAUGACCUAUCACUUAAAUAAAAUUUGUCAUUUGUUUAAUUCUAAAGUCUGUCUUGAUCUCAUUACUAGUCUAUGAUCUUUCCUUCUUCAAAGCUCCUUCAGGUAUCAUCUCCUCUAUGAUCUCUUUUUAAUUCGUUUUUUUUAUUGUGUGGGUGUGAGGAUAAUAGGAAAAUUUCUUGGAUUGAUUGGGAGUCCAUUUGUUUGGAUAAGGAGGUUGGCGGUAUAUAACAUAGAGAAUCCAAUUGAGGUAUUUAACACAUAUUAGUAGUGUUUAUAUCGUGGUAUUUAAUUUUUAUGUACCCAUAAUGAUAAAAAUUGUAGUAAAUGUUAAUUUUUGUGUGUAUAUCACUUUCCUUAAUUUUAGCUUAUAUUCGUUGUGAUAAGAUUGAAAAUCUAAUUGAGUUUCCUAUUAUUUAGGCAUGACAACAAAACUCAUACUCGUGGGUACCCAUCCGAGCCAAACCCAAAUUGAUGGAUUUUUUUCGGUUUGACUGAGUUUGGGUAUUCUUUGAUCUCAAAACAUGAGUACGGGACGGGUAAUGGGGAUAGAAGUACCCACCUCGAACUCAUACCUAAACCCGUCUGGAUUGUAGAAAAUCAAUUUAUCAUCCCUUUUGUAUAAAUAGGAACUCAAACUUUAAAUCAUUUCUCUCACACAAUCAAAGUGGCAAUUUGUCAGGCGACACUCACUUCUCUAGUUCUCUCUUUUCUCCUUUCACAUCUCACUACCACGGUCUUUGUCUUUGUCUUCUCCAUAACCACUAUGGGGAUGGAGAUGAGGCAGGAAUACCAAAAAUAUGCUUUGUAUAUAAGUAGCGAUAAGAAUCUAUCUCACUUGAGCAAUUGUAAAAACAACAAAAAAAAGCAAAAAAUGGUAAAAACAUGUCAAAUUAAAAAAAAUAAAAAUAUCAUAGGAAAAAUCUAAAAAUCAAAUAAAACUAAUGCAAUUUUUUCGAAUUUUUCUCAGAAUAUGAUUAAUAAAAUAAAAAAAUUGGAAAAUAGGUUUUAACUAUGGAAUUUUGAAUUUUGAGAGGUGGAGUUCGGUAAGAAGUUUCAUCUAAGAGAUUCUUGAUCCUUGAUUUUUUUUUUGAUUUUUUGGAAAUGUUCCGGAGCAAUCUGAUCAAGUAGCUCAAAAAUUAGAUUUUUUUACUAGGAACAACUAACAAUGACCUAAAACAGAAUGAUGAAGGUUAGGAAGAUUAAUAUGACCCUUAAACUGGUUAUCCAUGUCAUAAACAUGUUCAAAAUUUAUGCUGAUGCAUUUCAUAUUAUAUAAUUCAAAUUGUUUUUCCACUGAAUAAUGAUGUUUAGGGGAUGUUCGGAUUUUAUAAUCCGAGAAAAAUCAAGGAAUGCUCCCUAUUUUGUAGGGUGUUCGGUUCGGAUUAUAUAAUUCGAAUCGGUGAACAACUCAUUUUUCACCCCAAAACAAGGGAAAACUCAAUUCGGAUUAUAGAAUCCAAAAAUCUCAUAAGCAUUUUCAUAAAAUAAAAAAAAAUAGAGCAUGUGAGAAAUAAUUAGGGUGCGAAAAGUAACAGUUAAAAAAAAGAUGUGUGUUAGUUUUGGGCUAAAUUAUGAAAGUCUUGUUAAAAAAAAGAUGAAAAUUGCUUUUUAGGCACCUUGGAUUGCUCACAAGCACAUCAAACGUUCAAAGAUACAUUUAUUAGAAGUUACAACAUGUUCGCCUACGAACAGGAACCGUUUGUUGAUGCGGGACUUGGAAACAUUUGCAACAUGUCUAGCAGCUUUGAUACCAAAACUGCUUGUAAAAAUGAUUGGUGGAACUAACAUAUGCAAGUAUUCAAACUUCAAUAAGAUUGUUUUCUAGUAUUUGAUUCAAUUUAACAAAAAACAACCUUAGAGGCAAUUGGUUUGAAAAUGCUUCAAAUGCAUAUUGCAAAUGCAUCAAAAUCCUGAAUGGUUCCUAACUCCUGUUCAUAGGCGAAUGGUUCGUAACUUCUGAGGGGUAUUUUCAAAAGUUUGAGAUGCUUGUGAGCAAUCGAAGGUGCGUAAAGAGUAAUUUUCAGAAAGAAUUAUGAAGUUUGAUCUAGGCCUUGGCCUAAUAGAUGGGCCAAAGAGGGAAUUGCUAGAGGAAAGUUGCUUUUCUGACAUUGAGAAGUUCACAAUAACACAUGUAAAUGACCUAAAAGCCCUUGACGGCAGUUAACUACCGUUUGCCAAACCAGCGGUAGUUAACUGCCGCUGGCCUCAACGGUAGUUAACUACCGCUGGAAAUUGUUUUUCUGCUCAUGCCCACUUGUUCUGCCACCAACUUCCAUUCUUUAAUUGCUUUUGUUCUUCGUUUUAAUUCAUGUUCAUAGAAACCCUCAACAAUCCUUUCUCUUCGUUCUUCAACUGUAAAUUUAAAAGUAUGGCAUCCUCAAGCAGUACUGGAUCUAACCCAAGCUGGAUUCGUUGUACCAACAUGAAUCAUAGAUGUUUAAAACGAAGUCGGAUUCGUGCUCUGAGGCGAUUGGCGGAGAAAAGGAGAUCGGUCCGGAAAUUAGAAUUGAUGUACAAGGAUCGUUUGUGAGGCCGUUAAGCAUGGAAGAACAUAUUGAAACAUUGAUUGUUUUUCAAACACCCAAUUAAACUUUUACCCAAUAAUACUUUCACUGAUAUUUGUGUUGUGAAACUCUGUUCAAGCUAAUUCAGAAAAAUUCCAAAAUAUUGCUUGAUUCCAUUAUAGAGAGGGAUUAUUGGUGUUUGGUGUUUGAAACGAUGAAGGAAUCGAUGAAGAAGGGUGAAAACAUACUACUUCAGAUUAAUUUGUUUCCUUUCAUUUUUUCUUCUUCUUGUUUUACAAGAUCCUUCCAUUUGUUAUGUGAUGUGUUGCGUGUUUACUGCAAAAUUAAAAAAUCAGAAAAGCAAUUAAAAAAUGGAAGUUGGUUGCAGAACAAGUGGGCAUGUGCAGAAAAUCAAUUUCCAGCGGCAUUUAACCACCACCGGUUUGACAAACAGUAAUUAACUGCUGCCGGGGACUUUUAGGUCAUUUACAAGUAUCAUUGUGAACUUCUCAAUGUCAGAAAAGCAAUCUUCUUGCUAGAGAUCAAAUUGCUCUUCUCCCAAUCAUUUUUACUCAUUCUCAUCCCAAACUAUCUAAAAUACCCCCAAUGUGAGUUAAGAUUGCCUUGGAUUACAUUUAAAUAAUUCUGAAAUUGUCGUUUUGCUUUGCUUCUUGGUAACUUCUGUAACAUAGCAAAAAUUAUUAGUACUUGCAUGCUUAGUUUCUAACGUUUCUUCAUAAAAUGGAUGACUUGAUGAAAAAACGAAUUAUCGACUUGUUUAUGAUUAAUAGUUUUGUCCCAUAAAAAAUUGAUUAAUAUUAUUUUGAGAAGUUGGAAAGGUCUCUGGUUUGUAUAUAUGAAUAAAGUGCAAGGUUUUCCAUCUCUUUGUUCACCUAAUAAGCAAUAGUACCGAUAAUAACAGUUGAUUUCGGUUUAAAAUAGUUCGAUUUGGUUCGAAACAGUUCGGUUUAGUUAAGUUAGGUUUUACCUUCUAAAAUUCGAUUUUGUUUGGUAUUUUAUAUUUUUUUUUCCAAUGGUUCUAAUAAUGACAGUUUAGUUUGGUUUCAGAACAGUUCGGUUCGGUUUGGAACAUUUCGAUUUAGUUCGGUUCGGUUCAGUUAUUUUAAAUUGAGUUAAAUAUGUAUUUGGACCAUGUAAAUAUACCAACUUUUCGAUUUAAUCUCUCUAAAAUUUUACUUCAACAUUUAGUCCCCUAAAAAAUUUUCAUCUUCACUUUUGGUCUCUCCUUCAAAGUAAACUCAUAUGUAGGAUUAAUAUUUUUGAAUAAAAUUUUGCAUAAAAAUUCAUAAUAUUAUAAGGAUCACUCCAAAAAAAAUUAUAAUUUUUUAACAAAACAUGAAUUUAAUAUGAAUUUUUAUAUUUUUUUUACGGGUACAAAUUCAUAUUUAAUUUGUUUUGUUAAAAAAUUCUAUUUUUUUUUAAAGAUCAUUAUAAUAUUCUACACAUAUCUGCACAAUUUCAAUAAAAAAAAAAAAUAAUACUAAAAUUAACUUAAAAAUAGGGAUCAAAUGUAGUGAUUGAAAAUUUUUAGUGACUAAAAGUUGAAUAAUUUUUUAAUAAGGACUAAAACAAAAAAUUGGUAUAUUUAUAGGGACUAAAAACAUAUUUAACCCUUUUAAAUUUAGGCUUAAUUACAGUGUUCGGCCCUUAACUUUCACGAAGUUGCGAUUUUGGCCCCUUAAGAAAAAAAAUACAAUUUAGCAGUUUUGACCCCCAAAGACCAAUUUUUGGUAAAAAAAAAUAACACUUGGCACCUCACUUAGGGUGCCACGUCAGCGUGGACCGAGUCAAAAUUGACCUUCGGGGCCAAAACAUCCACAUAUGCAAAACUUUUUUUUUGGAGAAAUAAAAAUGAAAUAUUAUAACUUCAGUGAUGGAAACGCUUUAGUACAAGGUGUACUAAAAUGUUCCACCCCGGUAAAGACAACUGUCACAAAGUAUAAUUACAAGGAAAAGUCAGUCAAUACCCAAACAAUAUAAAGGGUUCGACCACCAACUUUGAGAACCGUACACAAAAGUGAUUUUGUUGGCUUUAAGCCACCACAACGAAUGAAAUUUUACUUUAUCGAAUAACUGCUCAAUAGGUGUUGCUAUGUUGUUGAACAAUCUGUUGUUUCUUUCAUUCCACAACAACCAUAAUAAUUGAAGAAAAGAGCAACAUGCCAACAUAUGCAAAAUUUAGGGGGCGAUUUUGUAAUUUUUUUUUUAGGGGGCCAAAAUCGCAACUUUGAGAAAGUUAAGGGGUUAAAACUGCUAUUAAGCUUUAAAUUUAUCAACCAGUUCAGUUGAAUUCGAUUAUGUUUUCAUUCCAAACCGAACCAUGCUCAUCCCUAAUUAUGAGACAAGACAAAAGCAGAGAAUUUUCGCAUUUCGAGAAUAACAAAGAUAAAUUUAAGGUAACUUAUCAUGUUGAUUUUUUAUGUUGAAACUUCUUCGAAGCUCUGCUAACAUUUAAUUAAAUUCUUUUACAAGGCCGCACUUCUUCAGCAAGUCAAUGAUCUUCUGGUACGCAUUUGCAUUGAAACAACUACUGCACGUGGAAUAGUUGAGGAAUUAGAGGCUUCAAUAAAUAAAACCAAUAGAGAAGGAGCUUCAAUUAGGCCACACUUUUACUAGUUGUAUUUGAAUGCAACCCAACGUGACUUAAUUUACGUUGGAGUUUGUCGUACGUUAACUCAUAUUGAUAUCUAACGUAAACGUAAGUUAACUUGCAUUAGUUUUAUCAAUCAUAAUUUAACUUAGGUUGAGGUUAUUUUAUGCUUUUUGGGGUGGGAAGGAGUAAAAAUGAUUGGGAGAACGAAUCGCUAAGGUGGCCAAUUGGUUACGAUAGGCAGCAUAGUUUUUUUUUAUUUUUUUUAAAGAUAGGCAGAGUUUUUUUGUUUUUGUUUUUGAAUUCAGAUAGGCAGAGUUAAUAAGAGAGGAAAUGGCAAGUAGUAUAAGUGUAUGAUAUUAUCCUCUAAAAAAAAGUGUAUGGUAUAAUGGAAUAUUUUCUGUUAGAAAAGGCAACUGAAAUCUUUAUUGAAAUUUUAAAUGAAUCAAAGAUCUUUCCCACUCCAGAAAUUGAAGUUCUUUCAACAAUAAAGGUUAGCACAGUAUAAUAGUAUGUCACUUGGAAUACCGAUACUUAAAACAAAAGAGAUUCAAAGACCUAAACCAUAAGCUUUAAAGUACUAUUGUUAAAAAAAAGGUGUGUGAUGCAUGUAUAUGGCACUACCAACACAUGGAAGACAUAAUAUGAUUUUUUUUUUUUCUCAAUUAGCUAGAUAGGGUUAAUGUAGUCAAUAACAAUGCAUUUCAAAUCGAUCUUGACAAAAAAAAAAAAAAAACAUUUAAAACUAAAAAAAAAAUAGCAAAACGGAUAUUUUGCAUAUGUGACGUUAUUUGUCUUGAUAAGGCAUGUAUGUCUACUCGAUCUAUAGAGUUAAACUUUAACAAGGAUCCCUGUGAGCUUAAUUCAGUUGGUAGAAAUAUUUUCAUAUUAUAUGUAAGGGUUUGGAUUUGAAUCUCGAACAUCUCACUUCUCCACAUUUAAAAUAUGUGAGCUCUAGCUCCUAAACUACUUAAAAAAAAACUUUAGCAAUUAGAAAAAUGGAUUUGAAAUGAUAAAUCAAACAUUUGUCAAAGUAACAAUUACAAUACUUUUUAUACAAAAAUUACAUCUUUUACUUGCUUAAAUUAUGAUAUCUAAAAAUACUUGUUUGCAUUUUUCUGAACAUUAUUAAAGUAGAUCAAACUCAUACUUUACAAAAUCUAAUCUAUCCAUCUUUCAAAAAAAAAAAAUCUAAUCUAUCCUCGCCCCUAAUUGUUAACCUAAUCACAUGUUUAUCUUUAACUAAUAUUAAUUGAUUUGAUAUUUAAUUACUUUUAUAUUCUAGAUAAUCAAUAAUAUAUUAGUAUUUGUUUAAGUUUGGCUGCUUGCUUGGCAACAGAAAAAAAAAUAGUUUGGCUUUUUGCCUAAUAAAAAAGGUUUAGCUGCUGGUUCCCGAAGAAAGAACAUAAAUAUCCAGCACACAAUAGGUAAGCAGUGACUUAAGCCUUUUUGGAGGGAUUUUUUUCCUUUCUUUUUUACCUUUUUUAAUUGAAUAAUAUUUUGAUUGAAUAUACAAAUUGAUCCUUAAAACGGUAAGAAUUUUCAUAAAAAUCUUUUAUUUUUAUAAAUUAGUAUCACUAGAAUUAUAAGAUGUAUUUGAAAUGAUCGUUAUUUUAACUUCUGUUAUUUAAGAUUAAAAUGUUUUACUAAUCAAUCUUUGGAUUGGAUACAGAAUUUAAAAAGAAAAAAAGAUUAAAAUGUUUCACGUUUUGUUUGGUUACACUUAAAAUGUUUCACGUUGAUCUCACACAAAUAUCAUCUCAUUAGAACUAAUUUAUCUAUGGAAUUUAAGUUAUCUAAUCAAUAAAUUGUCUACAAUUGCUUUCUUCAAAAAAAAAAUUGUCUACAAUUGCAAUUUUAUUGGGGACGUAUUAUGAAGUGACACUGACAUUGGUGUGAGAUUAAAAUGCAGGAAUGCAAAUUCAAUUAAUGUGUUACAUAAAAGUUAAUGAAUCGACCACUUUGUCUAACACUUUACAAUUUUCAAGAUGUAUUGUCCAUUCAUAAAAAAUGGUGACUAUUAGAGCAUAAUAACAAAGCUCCGAACCAAACCUAAAUUGAUAGAUUUUUCUCGCUUUGGUUGAGUUUGGGUUUUUUCAAGUUUCAAAACACAGAUAGGGGACAAGUAAUUGGGAUAUAAGUAUCAAUCUCGAACUCAUACACAAACUCGUCAUGAAUGUAAAUAAAUCAAAUUAUUAUCUCUUUUAUAUAAAUAGAAACUUAAAUUCUAAUUAAAUCAUUUAACUCACAUAGUCAAAGUCUCAGUCUUUCAGACGACGUUCACUUCUCUAAAUUCUCUCUCUCCGCCUUCCACAUCUCAAACCCUCGAUCUCUCUCUUCUCCAUCACUAGGUGUGUAUGUGAGUCGGUUUGAGUUGGGUUUGACCAAACCCAAAACUGAACCAUAUAGGUACUCCAAUUUGGGUGAGGUAAAAUAGUCACUUGCUAAUUUCUGAGUUGGGUUGGUAAUUGGUUAACCAAUUUUUUAUUAUUAUUAAAUGACUAAAUGACAAGUACUCAUAAUUUUUCUUAAAUAUUACUCUACUUUUUAAUUUUUUUUUAAAAAUUGGUUAACUUAUUUUUACUAUAACUUUAUGCAUCAUAGAAUAAUAAUAAUAUCAAAUAAUAAACUCCAUUAUAAAAUACUUGCAACAAACUAAAGUUGUAUGACAUUAAAUUGCAUUAGUAUUAAAAUAAGCAAAAAGUGUAACAUCUUGAUUUGUAAUUUAACAUGUUUUGAUUUUCGUUACAUAGGAUACCAUGUGUAUGUUUUGAAAUAUAACUUGGUUUAUGACCAUAACCUUUAGUAUUUUUUUUUGUCAAGUAGCCUAUUGGCUGAAGCUCACACAUUUUAAUGUAGAGGAGUGGGGACAGAGUUCGAACUCCCGUCCCUGCAUAUAUUAUGCAUUGUUCCUACCAACUGAGUUGAGCUCACGGAGACACCUUUAGUAUUUUUCUUCUACCCUAUGAAAAUAAAGAUAAAAAAUAUUGACAUUAUUGGGUAAGUCGAUUUUUCGGAUACCCGAAACCCAUUUAUUUUUAUGGGUUUUCCAUUUUGAGAAACCAUAUUUACCCAAUUACCAAGUCCAAUCCAUUUUUUUGGGUUUAUUGAAUGGAUUUCACCGAAUUUUCUGUAUUGACCCAAUCCAUAUACACCCCUAUUCAUCACCAUAGACAUCGAUCAUCAUCUUUUUGUUGGAACCAUAUGACAUGAUCAAGAUCUUUUCAAAAACUCAACAACUUAUAUUUCCAAAGACAGAAUCGCGAGUGGAGCACAAAUUGCACUAGAAGGCAAUGAAACUAUUGCAAUUUUUUUUUUUUUUUUUUUUGAAAGAAAUGAAACUAUUGCAAUUAAAAGUCACUCAAGUUUGAAACCAAUUUCAUAUGCUUUAUAUUUUGAGGAGUGCUACCAACACUUUCUUUUUAACACUCUUUUCAACACUCACUCUUUUAUUGAAUAAAAUUAACGUGGAGCCUACACUUUGGAAAUAGAAUCCACAUAAGGUGCUAUGAGUUACAUUGGUUUCACUAAAUAAAAGAAUGAGCGUUAAAGAUGGUGUUGUAAAGAGAGUGUUGCGAAUAUUACUCUUAUACGUUUCAUUGGUCGAAAUCUUUUAAGUGUUGUUCAAAUGUUGCAAAAUGGCUACAAAGUGCUAUUUGAAACAUAAAAAUUGUGUAAUUAAAUAACAAAAUGCAAUUUUUUAUUUACGCAUGCUGCAUCGUCGUUAGUGUUCAUCAUCAACGAGACUUGUUGUUUGACCACUUUUAUCAAGUUGGGAUUCGAUAUAAGAAGCUAAUACUCUUCAUCAAACCAUAUACUUUGAUGUUGUUGUUUAGUUAAUAGGAAAGUCUCAUCAAAUUGGAUUAAGAGCAAACAAACAAGUAAAUUGGAUAUCAUAUUUUCACCGAAAACUUAUAAGACGUUACAUAUAUUAAUAUAUAUCCUCUCUCUUGUAUGUUGUUCGAUAUUCACUUUUCUAACUCACAUAAACCUUCUACCUCACACUUGACAUACAAGAAAAGUGAGAAAGAGAGGAGGUGAUAGUAAGAUGGAAGACAAAGAAAUCACGAGAUAAAUGGUAUGGUGUAGGAGAGAAUCAAGAUUUAAAGUUAUAAUGAACAUUACAUGUAAUGUGCCACUGCCAGUGGAAGUCUACUCCACUUGGUGACAUGAGAGUGUACAUACACCCCAACAAGAAAACUCUCCCAUGUGAAAUGAAUGAUUUUUUGUUCCUCUUUUUCUCAUUACCCCAUUACCUACCGUGUAACAAAUCAAACCACAUCUCAAAUGCUGAUAGCGUGCCUCUAUCUUAAAUGCGUGAUGCAAUUUGUAUCAACCACAACACCAUAUUCUAUUAUUCUUAUAUAAAAUAUAUUUGCAUUUGUCUUAAUUCACACUACUCUAUCUUUGACGUGAGAAUUCCAUCCAAUUUCAAGUGGAAUAAUUCAUAGGAUACAAGCAAUGAAUUAAUCACCCAUCACUAUUCACAUUCCAAGUUGCAAAAUGUAAAUUAAAUCAAUAUAUAUAGUAAGGCUUUCUUUAAGGUCGGUCCAUAAAAUUGUUGAUAAUUAGAAAAGUCGUUGGUUGAGUUGCAUUUUGCAUAGUUAGUUGUUAGUAGUAGGAGUACAGUAGCGUGCCGGCUGCUAUUGAAAUGAGAUCCUUAUCUGUGACCGCAUUCAUUCACAUUACUUAGACCCCUCAAAAUUAAAUAAAAACAAAAACAAGAACCUUUCUUUUGUACUUUAUUCAGAAUAUUGACUAGAAACUUCUUUUGGAAUUUGGAACUAGUCUUCCUUCAAAUUUCACUCCCCACAACUUGGUGUAGUACUUUCUCAGUCCCUUCUCCACUUCUCUCAAUGUCAGUGCGAGUGCCUUAUGACUUAUUCUCGAACCUCAAUUCACUAUAGUAAGACUACACGCUUUAGGGCAUUAGGGAAGUUACAAUAUCUACCAUCGUCUGAUUUUGAUCGGACUGUUCGGAUUUAAAGCUUUGAUAAAAAAAUUAGAUAGAUAAAAUGAUAAUAAUAAUUGAAAAUUUACGAAAAUAAUGAUAGUGAUUGAAAAUUUACGAAUCUCGUUCACGACGUGCAACUUAACAAUUAGAUAUGACAACAAAACACAUACAUGCGGAUACCCGCCUGAACUAAACCCAAUUUAACGGGUUUUCUCCGCUUUGACUGUGUUUGAGUAUGAGUUUGGGUUUCUCCGAUUUCAAAAUACUGGUACAGGACGGAUAACAGGGAUAUAUGUACCCACUCCAAACCCAAAUUCAUACCAAACUCGUCCCGAAUGUUGAAAGUCAAUUUAUUAUCACUUUUAUAUAAAUAGAAACUCAAACUCAAAACUAUUUCAAUCACACAGCCAGAGUCUCAGACUUUCGAUUGACAGACACUUAUGAUAGUUCUCUCUUUUUUCAUUCCAUAUCUCACAAUCUCGACCUCUCUAUUCUCCAUCAUCAUAACCAUCGAUCGCCGUCAUCUCUUUGCUGUAUAAUGAAUUACAACAUUGCGACUAAGGCUAAAAAAUAUUUUUUUAUUAAAAAAAAGUUUAUCCACUACGGGGAAUACCCGAACCCUUCGUGAACGAAAAUGAAAUUUGAUUUCUCAUCUCUGCUGGGUAUGGGUAGGGUAACGAGUAAAUAUAUGAGAGUAUGAUAUGGGGACAGAGAAAGUAAAACUCGUCCCCACUCUGCCCCAUUGUCAUGUCUAUUAACAAUCUCGACAUCUUUUUCAAUUGAUUUAAGAUGUACCAUGAACAAAUUUCAAUAAAUUUAGUUUUUAGAAAAAUUUAAAAUCUAUUUAUUUUGUGGAUCGUUUAAUCUCGAUUGAACAUUCGUACAUCUUCUAAAUACGUGCAAAUUUGACUACAAAAAACAUCAGAAAAUAAGAUCAGACGGUCACGAAUCUCUCAACUAUGCGAAUGUGAGGCAAAAAAAAAAAAAAAAAAACCUUGAGUCCCAUGGUGUUAUUACACUUUAUUUGACCGACUUAAGGUCAUCACCCUUGGCCACCAAGAAACUCACCCUAAACGUGCUCCACUAUAAUAUCCACCUGUAUUUCAGAUUCUAUUUUAAUCAAUUAAUUGAUUGUUGUAUUUAGCUUGCCCACCGCGCUUACUUGCUCACCACUUGUCACGCAACUUCCACUUCAAUCCUCACCUCCUUAUAAACCGAGCUCACUCACACUCAUUUCCACUCAUACCAAAACUCAUCUCAAAAAUUUCAAUACCUAUCUCUUUCUAUCAAUGGCUCUAGAAGCACUUAACUCACCCACUUCUACUACCCCUAAAUUCACCUUCGAUGAACCAAAUCUUCCAUGGACUAAACGUAAACGUUCUAAACGUUCACGUUCAUGCACUGAAGAAGAAUAUCUCGCUCUUUGUCUCAUCAUGCUUGCUCGUGGCCACACCAACCGCCACGAUUUCAAUCCUUUGAAUCCACCACCAACAACCAUUGACAACAACAACAACAACACCAAACUCAGUUACAAAUGUUCUGUUUGUAAUAAAGAGUUUUCUUCUUAUCAAGCGCUCGGUGGACACAAAGCAAGUCACCGGAAAAACUCCGUCGGUGGCGGUGGUGAUGAUCAUCCAUCAACUU
rnacentral:lncRNA from 1 species